rnacentral:misc_RNA from 1 species
GAAAUGCGAUACGUAGUGUGAAUUGCAGAAUUCCGUGAACCAUCGAAUCUUUGAACGCACAUUGCGCCUUAGGCUUCGGCCAAGGGCAUGUCUGCCUCAGCAUCGGGUUUAUAUCGCUCCCCUUCACCCAUUCGGGUAAAGAGAGGCGGAUCUGGCUGUUCCAGCUAUGCAGUCCGAAUCAUUCGUGAUUCGGGCAUCUAUGCACCUGGAUCAGCUGAAGACCAGAGGCUAACCAAGGACCCGAUAAGGGCCGCAACUGGGUGGGCUGUCAAAGGCUAUAUUCUUAGUUGUUGGUCUGGGACUUUGUGUUCGGCCCUCAAACAGGAACCUAUAAACCAUAAUCUCGAUCUGAGCUCAGGCAAGAACACCCGCUGAACUUAA